rnacentral:lncRNA from 1 species
AAGAAGCUCAUGGUCCACUAUCUGCUGCUCCAGAGUCAAGGCCAGGUCCCUCCCCAUGUCACCACGGAGCACAUGAGCAACUGGCUGGUGUCUCAGGGCAAAAAAUCUCUUAGGGAGAGGUGAGUACCACGUCAGCACUCACCUUCACUGCAAUUCCCUGCAACCAGCAGCACUCCAGGAGAUGUGGGUAAAAUAAACAACAGAAAAAUCAGAAGCCAGGAAAGUUGAAUUGCUCUGUGUUUUAUUUGAAGGGUGUGGAAGGAAACCCUGGAGGAAGGAAACGACCUCACUCGGCUGGUAAGAGAAUGAGAGUUAGAGACAAACUACAAGUUAGUGAGCUCUUUACUAGCCUUUCAACAACGAGUUAGCACAGCAGAAUAGAUCUGUUGUGAAAUUACACCAAUGGGACUUCCUGUUUCAUACUGCAGGCCUGGGAAGUAAACACUUGCCUAAAAAUGAUGAACAUAGAACACGAGGCUUUCUGCAAGCUCCGCCGCUCCAUGCACCCCACUCUUUUGCAGGCCUCGCCAGCUGACAUCGAUCCGAAGGUCCACAGCAUCGUGGAGAAAGCUGUGAGAAGCAUUCUGGGCGAGCAGUCCAAUGAGCCCCGUAGCAACCUGCUCAGCCCAUCUCAGGUGGUGGUGGAGGUGGUGCCCAGGCUCCUCCUGGCCCUGUGGCUUCAGCCAGAGGAAGGCCAUUCAGAGCACCCAAUCCUAAUAGGUGGGAUGGCCGUGGGCAUGGUGGCGGCCGUAGUGGAGAAGCUCUCCUGCAUGUUAAAGGACCCUUCCCCUCACAUCCCUUUCUCCCAGGCUGCUGCUUUUGACUCUGUGCGGUCGAUCCUCAGGAGAAUCAGUCAGUCCUUCUCCACAGAUGACCUGCAGAGCCCUUUUUAUAUGAGCUCUGUCUGUGGCUUUGUGGCUGACGAGGUGCAGAGCUGCUUCCAGCCCCCUGCAGCCACCCUACCAGUCCCCCCUGUGCUCACGGUGGCCGUUUCCACCACACUACCAGCUGGCAUCCAAGCAGACCCGGCUUCUUCCCACCUGGAGGUUGAGGACAUCACCCCUAAGACAGAGGCAGAUCCGGGUUCUUCCCACCUGGAGGUUCUAGACAUCACCACUAACACAGAGGCAGAUCCGGCAUCUUCCCACCUGGAGGUUCAAGACAUCACCACUAACACAGAGGCAGAUCCGGCUUCUUCCCACCUGAAUGUGGUGGACAUCACCCCUAAUACAGAGGCAGAGCCCAUCUCUUCCCUCUUGGAGGUUGUGGACCUCACACCUGAAGAAAGGACUCUCACGAUGGCCGUCUCCGCCACUCUGCCAGCUGACAUCCAAGCAGAGGAUGAUGCUGUGGUCACCCCACACGUCACCAAGGACAUGACACUGGAUGUUUCAUGCAGAGCUAGGAAAGGGGCAGUCCGGCGAUUAUUUUGCAGGCUUUGGAGGGCAGUGUGCUGCUGCGCCUGCCACAAGGAAGAGGAGGAACAAUAUUAAUUAUUCAUCACACCUGCAGAAAAGGGAUUGAACCAUAGAGCAUUAAAUUAUUCACAUUAUAAUUGAACUCAAUUCUGCUUUUCUUCUGUUUACUACUUAAUUUCUUAACUUUUCUAUAAACUUUCACUUUGCAAGUGUGGAUUAGGUUGUGUAAAUAAGUGGGACACAUCCCAAUGUUGAUGCUUUGAAUAAUUUACUUUGUACAUUUAAAAAAAACAUGUCUUAUUUGACAACAAAAACGGAGGGCGCUCAACCAACGUUGAGUUGAGGUGCAACCAAAUAUUUGAAUCAUCAUAGAAAAGGAAAAAGCCCAACUCUUGCUCACUAUAAAAAAUGCAUUGUUUUAUUCAAGCAAGGUUAAAAGAUUAACGUUUCGGCCUAGCCUUUGACGAUAUGCAUGUUCAGGUUUGCCCAGUAAAAGGGUGACCCAGACUCACCCUGGUUCUUGAGGGUUGAAGACAGUGAAAAAUGAUCAUAAAGUAAAUGGGACUUCUCAAUUAUUGAAUACAAAUCUUGACUUGAGGAUUAGAGCAGGCAGGCUGACUUGCUAGGCCUGAAAGCCCUCUGCCUCUACCUCUGUGUGGUUCAUCUCAACUAAGAGCUUGUGUGGGUUGUCUUUCUCUGUGGGUGUGAAUCACUAUGACCUCUCCCUCUGCCUGCCAUUUGGCUGAUCAGAAGCCAUCUGCUCUUUCUUGCUCACAUGAACAGGAGGAAUGGCCUCUGGGGUAACCUCCUCCAUCUAUCUAAUGCCUCUUCCACCUCCACUUUCUGGCUGUGUUUGAUUGAGGUCACUCGUUCUCUCUCACUGGGUAUUGGAUAGUUCCUCCUCCUCUAUGUCUUUGUGAGGGUGGAGGGAGUUAUCCUGUUCCGGCGCCCUCUAAGGGUGUGCAUCAUAAACUCUUUCGGUGUGUUGAAGGGUUCAGUGGUUUUGGAGGGAGUCUGAAGUUCGAUCUCUAGCGAUAAGUGUAGGGGCUGUCCCGUGGUGGUGUCCCCCUCCCUCCAAAGGAGGAGCAACUGAGACAUGUGAUGAGGCCAAGGAAGAUCACUCUGCAAGGACGGGAUAGGACACAUCACAACACUGCAGCUCAUUCAUAUUCAAACACACCUCAGAGUACGGACACAAACAUGGACGCCCCCCCUCCCCCACACAUAGACAAUGAAUUUACCUGUACAUAUCAGAAUCAUACAUUCUACCCCCACAAGUAUUGAUCCCCCACCUCAAACAUGUUGAGUCAAUUCCAGAUGCUGGAAUGCAGGUGCAAUAGGGCCAAGUAUGUAAUGAUGUGAUACCCGUGUACCCCAUAUCUGACCAGGUGAAUCCAGGUUAACGCUAUAAUCCCUUAUGGAUGUCACUAGUUAAAUCCACUUAAAUUAGUAUAGAUAAAGAGGAGGAGACAGGUUAAAAAAAUAUUGUAAGGCUUGAGACAAUUGAGACAUGGAUUAUAUUAUGGAAUAGCAGAAAAAUCUGACGAGAACAUCAAAGCAAGAGUGAAGGACAUUUGUAAUUGUAUGAAUAAAUAUAUAAUUUAGGUCACCCACUUGCGUGGUGCAAAGGACUGUUUUUAUUUGCAACUAGUAAGAACUUUUCUUUUUGUGAGACCCUGAUUCAUGUGAACGUAUACAAGUUUAAUAUUCUUCAUCUAGUCACUGUGAUAGUAAAUGUCCAUUUCUGUUUUUCUAUUAAUGCUAGGCGA